UCAUAAUCAGUGAAAACGAGUAGGGCGGGACACGUGAUAUCCUGUCUGAAUAUGGGGGGACCAUCCUCCAAGGCUAAAUACUACUGACUGACCGAUAGUGAACCAGUACCGUGAGGGAAAGGCGAAAAGAACCCCUGUGAGGGGAGUGAAAUAGAACCUGAAACCGUGUACGUACAAGCAGUAGGAGCACCUUCGUGGUGUGACUGCGUACCUUUUGUAUAAUGGGUCAGCGACUUAAUUUUAGUAGCAAGGUUAACCGUUUAGGGGAGCCGUAGGGAAACCGAGUCUUAACUGGGCGUACAGUUGCUAGGAUUAGACCCGAAACCAGGUGAUCUAGCCAUGGGCAGGUUGAAGGUUGAGUAACAUCAACUGGAGGACCGAACCGACUAAUGUUGAAAAAUUAGCGGAUGACUUGUGGCUAGGGGUGAAAGGCCAAUCAAACCUGGAGAUAGCUGGUUCUCCCCGAAAGCUAUUUAGGUAGCGCCUCGGACGAAUACUACUGGGGGUAGAGCACUGUUAAGGCUAGGGGGUCAUCCCGACUUACCAACCCUUUGCAAACUCCGAAUACCAGUAAGUACUAUCCGGGAGACACACGGCGGGUGCUAACGUCCGUCGUGGAGAGGGAAACAACCCAGACCGCCAGCUAAGGUCCCAAAGUAUAGCUAAGUGGGAAACGAUGUGGGAAGGCUCAGACAGCCAGGAUGUUGGCUUAGAAGCAGCCAUCAUUUAAAGAAAGCGUAAUAGCUCACUGGUCGAGUCGGCCUGCGCGGAAGAUGUAACGGGGCUAAGCUAUACACCGAAGCUGCGGCUACGUACCUUAGGGUAUGUGGGGUAGGGGAGCGUUCUGUAAGCCGUUGAAGGUGGUCUGUAAGGGCUGCUGGAGGUAUCAGAAGUGCGAAUGCUGACAUGAGUAACGAUAAAGGGAGUGAAAAACUCCCUCGCCGGAAGACCAAGGGUUCCUGUCCAACGUUAAUCGGGGCAGGGUAAGUCGACUCCUAAGGCGAGGCCGAAAGGCGUAGUCGAUGGGAAACGGGUUAAUAUUCCCGUACUUCUUACAAUUGCGAUGGGGGGACGGAGAAGGCUAGGUGGGCCUGGCGACGGUUGUCCAGGUUCAAGUACGUAGGCGG
rnacentral:rRNA from 1 species